CCGCUGCGGCCGCGCGUGCGCACAACCGGCGGGGCCGGGGGCGGGCGCCAAGGCUGGUAUGGCGGCGCCGCGGCCCUGCGCCGAUAGCCCGUGCUGCUCUCAUGCGGGUGUGGCGUCCGGUGUGCAACAGACGCUGGAGGAGAUGGACUUCGACAGGGGAAUCUGGUCAGCAGCCCUGAAUGGAGACCUAGGUCGAGUGAAAUAUUUAAUCCAGAAGGCAACAGACCCUAGCCAGCCUGACUCAGCUGGCUACACUGCUCUGCACUAUGCCAGCCGCAACGGGCACUAUGCUGUAUGCCAGUUCCUGCUGGAAAGUGGGGCUAAGUGUGAUGCCCAAACCCAUGGGGGCGCCACUGCUCUGCACCGGGCAAGCUACUGUGGGCACACUGAAAUUGCACGGCUCCUGCUGUCUCAUGGGUCCAACCCCAGGUUGGUAGAUGACGAUGGCAUGACCAGUUUGCAUAAGGCUGCUGAGAAGGGUCACGUGGACAUUUGCUCUCUCCUGUUGCAACACAGCCCAGCCCUGAAAGCUGUCCGGGAUCGCAAGGCACGACUGGCAUGUGAUCUGCUGCCCUGCGACAGUGACCUACGGGACCUGCUGGCCAGCUGAACUGCCACCCUUCUGCUGUCUUAGGCUGCCAUGCAAGGGUAUGUGGAGAAAGAGUUGAAAGGAAAGCGUUGGGAUGUGGACAUGGCGUUGCUGAUUGUGGAGGCGGGCCCAGAGCCUGGAGGCUGGGAGCCCAAGAGGCCGUGGCCCGGGAGCAGUGGAAACUCGAAGAAGAGAAGAAGAAGAAAGUGAGCAGUGCUGGGGGCCCAGCGGGUGCCAACGCCAAGGCUUGAGAGAUUGAACAACUCCAGACUGAAUCUGGAGACUCUGGCUGACUUGGAAAACUUGGUUCAAAGACGGAGAAAACGACUGAAACGCAGAGUCCCC